rnacentral:rRNA from 1 species
CGGGAGAUAGCUGGUUCUCCCCGAAAGCUAUUUAGGUAGCGCCUCGUGAAUUCAUCUCCGGGGGUAGAGCACUGUUUCGGCAAGGGGGUCAUCCCGACUUACCAACCCGAUGCAAACUGCGAAUACCGGAGAAUGUUAUCACGGGAGACACACGGCGGGUGCUAACGUCCGUCGUGAAGAGGGAAACAACCCAGACCGCCAGCUAAGGUCCCAAAGUCAUGGUUAAGUGGGAAACGAUGUGGGAAGGCCCAGACAGCCAGGAUGUUGGCUUAGAAGCAGCCAUCAUUUAAAGAAAGCGUAAUAGCUCACUGGUCGAGUCGGCCUGCGCGGAAGAUGUAACGGGGCUAAACCAUGCACCGAAGCUGCGGCAGCGACGCUGAUGCGUUGUUGGGUAGGGGAGCGUUCUGUAAGCCUGUGAAGGUGUGCUGUGAGGCAUGCUGGAGGUAUCAGAAGUGCGAAUGCUGACAUAAGUAACGAUAAAGCGGGUGAAAAGCCCGCUCGCCGGAAGACCAAGGGUUCCUGUCCAACGUUAAUCGGGGCAGGGUGAGUCGACCCCUAAGGCGAGGCCGAAAGGCGUAGUCGAUGGGAAACAGGUUAAUAUUCCUGUACUUGGUGUUACUGCGAAGGGGGGACGGAGAAGGCUAUGUUGGCCGGGCGACGGUUGUCCCGGUUUAAGCGUGUAGGCUGGUUUUCCAGGCAAAUCCGGAAAAUCAAGGCUGAGGCGUGAUGACGAGGCACUACGGUGCUGAAGCAACAAAUGCCCUGCUUCCAGGAAAAGCCUCUAAGCAUCAGGUAACAUCAAAUCGUACCCCAAACCGACACAGGUGGUCAGGUAGAGAAUACCAAGGCGCUUGAGAGAACUCGGGUGAAGGAACUAGGCAAAAUGGUGCCGUAACUUCGGGAGAAGGCACGCUGA